rnacentral:rRNA from 1 species
AUUGAACGCUGGCGGCAGGCCUAACACAUGCAAGUCGAGCGGUAACAGAAGAAAGCUUGCUUUCUUGCUGACGAGCGGCGGACGGGUGAGUAAUGUAUGGGGAUCUGCCCGAUAGAGGGGGAUAACUACUGGAAACGGUGGCUAAUACCGCAUGACGUCUACGGACCAAAGCAGGGGCUCUUCGGACCUUGCGCUAUCGGAUGAACCCAUAUGGGAUUAGCUAGUAGGUGAGGUAAUGGCUCACCUAGGCAACGAUCUCUAGCUGGUCUGAGAGGAUGAUCAGCCACACUGGGACUGAGACACGGCCCAGACUCCUACGGGAGGCAGCAGUGGGGAAUAUUGCACAAUGGGCGCAAGCCUGAUGCAGCCAUGCCGCGUGUAUGAAGAAGGCCUUAGGGUUGUAAAGUACUUUCAGCGGGGAGGAAGGUGAUAAAGUUAAUACCUUUAUCAAUUGACGUUACCCGCAGAAGAAGCACCGGCUAACUCCGUG